GUGGCUCAAACAUAAUGUUCUGACACCUCAGCAAGAGCCCACUUGCGUGUGAGGCCCUGCUGAUAUCAAGUAGUGUGGAUGACUGUCACACGGGUGCUGUUACCGGCUGAGCAGGAUGUUGUAGUUCUCAUGGGUGAUGAUCUGGCCCGCCCUCCGAGCUACCGAGCUCUCCUCAUUCGCCUUUAAGCUGUGCUUGCCCACUUCCACUCUAUACUUGUAACGGUCACUGUGGGAUGGCACAUGGCACAGUAUUUCCUUUGAGAGGUUACAGCAGUGUCAAGUUUUUCUGUCUGUGCUCACCAUAUUUAAGCUGAUUGUGAGCUGCUUGUAGUAAUUAUCGCUUGUUUUUAUGUAUUUAUUUAUUUUAUUUUUUAAAUGUUACUGGGGCGGAACGGUGGUUAGCACAUCUGCCUCACAGUUCUGAGGACCGGGGUUCAAAUCCGCCCUUGCCUGUGUGGAGUUUGUUUUUUAUGUUCUCCCUGUGUGUUUUUUUCCUCCGGGUACUCUGGUUUCCUCCCACAUCCCAAAAACAUGCACGGUAGUUUGAUUGAAGACUCUAAAUUGCCCGUAGGUGUGAAUGUGAGUGUGGAUGGUUGUUUGUUUAUAUGUGCCCUGCGAUUGACUAGCAACCAGUUCAGGGAGUACCCCGCCUCUCGCCCGAAGAUGGCUGGGAUAGGCUCCAGCAUCCCCAUGACCAUAGUGAGGAUAAGCGGUACGGAAAAUUAAUGAAUGAAAAAAAAUUGUUGAUCUUAAUCUUAUUCUUCUCCACCGAGAAUGACUUCAAUUCAUCCAUCCCUUUUCUACACUAUUUGUUAGUGUGUUAACACCCGAGACUGGUCUCGGUCUCGAGACCGGUCUCCAGACCACAUUUUUUAAGUUCUUGUCUCAGACUCGGCUGCUCUUCUUCAGAAUCAGAAUCAGAAUCAUCUUUAUUUGCCAAGUAUGUCAAAAACACACAAGGAAUUUGUCUCCAGUAGUUGGAGCCGCUCUAGUAUGACAACAUUCAAUCGAUAGAGAAUACUUUUGAGACAUAAAGACAAAUAAACACAGUCACUGAGCAAUAAAAGGUUACCAGUAUUGUGGUAAUGCCGGUACAAUUUAGUUAUUUUUUUGACAAUGUGCAAAAAGAUGUAGAGUCCUCUAGCAAUUAGAGCAGUUUGAAGUGACUAAUAGAACAAUAGUCCAGUGUAAUGACCAUUGUGCAAAAGGUGCAGAGACUUCAGGAAAGCAUUGAAUUGAUGUGCAUUCCAAUAUAGCAUGAAAAGAGGUGUCAGGAGUAUUUUUGGUGCAUUGCGCGCAUAUAUUAGAUGGAGAGAAGCCCAUUUUAUGCAUAGUGUAUCGAGUAAAGUGUGUUCUAUGGAGCACUUUAUAUUGUAUAAGCUGUAAAUUUGUGGGGUUUUUUGUCAUUCUAAAUGUAUUGUUACAUAUCUGUAUCCAGUAAUUACGGUCAGCGGACAUAGAAAGGUCUUCCCAUUUAGUGAUUGGUAAGUGCAUUGAUUUAGUGCAUGAAAUCAAUUUAUACACUUUUGAGAGAUUUUUUUUUUCCUUUGCGUAAGAAGCUUCACUAUUUACUUAACAAACUCUGAAUGUACUAUUGAACUGAAUGUACUAUUAGCCACGAGUGAUUUGUUCGUUGAACUUCUACGUUCGCGAUCCGCCAAGGAGAGACGUACUACGUAUGCAGUGAACUGUGCUGCCAUGAGUGACUCAGGCGGAAGUUCACUGCGAACUAGUACGAUGAGUGAUUCGUUUGUUCAAGGAAUGACUUAUUAUGCAGUGAACGUACUCACGAGUGAUUUGAACUGUUUAUCCUCACAGGGAUAGCUUUCACGAGCAUCCGUUUCUCCAAGCUAACAGCUAAUGUUGAGUCACAUAUUUAAAAUAAAUAUGUCUGCGAGAGCUUGCUGAGCGAGAGAGAUAGGUAGGUGAUAACUUAGCUUAAGUUUUUUUUUGUUUUUGUUUUUUUAUAAAUCUCCCGCCUUUCCUAGUUUACUUUACGUGACAACAACAAUGCAUAGUCCUUUGGUGAAUGUGUUGAGUGAACGUGAACCUCAGGGCUGAAUCAUAAACUGAAUGAGGAAGCACUUGAAUGAUUCUGUCAAAAAGAACUGAGCGAUUAGGUGAACGAAUCUUUUUAAUGAACUGAUUCUAGUGAUUCAGUACACUCAAAAGAACUGACGUGCCCAUCACUCGUCUCGACUCCCAAAAGUGAUGGUCUCGGACAAUGUAGUCUUAAGCACAACACUAGAUAGAGCCUUAUGGCCCUACUAAUUCUAAGCGCGAUAUACCGCUUAUAGGGUCGUGGGUGUGCUGGAGCCUAUCCGAGCAGACUUCGGGCACACACCCUGGACUAGACACCAGUCCGUAUCGGCAAACAAUCAUUCAUACUCACAUUCACACCUAAGCACAAUUUAGACUCUUCAACGAACCUAACAUGCAUGUAUGUUUUUGGAAUGUGUGUGAAAACCGGAGUACCACGAGAAAACCCAGCAAGCAUCAGGAGAACAUGCAAACUCCACGCAGGAAGGCCAAAGCCUGGAUACGAACCUGGUUGGAGCUACACUUCUUGGAAAGUGACCAUGGAGAAAUUGACAUGGCGUUAAACGCACUUUCCAGCUCCAACAGCUUCCAGAUCUUCAACAAGAUAUUGGAAAGGAAGCGGCCCACGCACCAUAAUUUGAAGACUGUAUGGUUAUUUGCUGCCAUCGUCUGACUCGUCUGUGUUACUACAUAAAUACAUCGCCAAUAAAAUCCAUCGAUUGAC